UACAGAGGUCUCAAGCGUUGUUCGGAAUUACUGGGCGUAAAGGGCUCGUAGGCGGCCCUCUCAGUCGGAUGUGAAAUCCCCAGGCUUAACCUGGGAACGGCAUCCGAUACUGGAGGGCUUGAAUUCGGGAGAGGGAUGCAGAAUUCCAGGUGUAGCGGUGAAAUGCGUAGAUAUCAGGAGGAACACCGAUGGCGAAGGCAGAUCUCUGGGCCGUAACUGACGCUGAGGAGCGAAAGCAUGGGGAGCGAACAGG
rnacentral:rRNA from 1 species